GUCACACCAUGGGAGUGGGUUGCAAAAGAAGUAGGUAGCUUAACCUUCGGGAGGGCGCUUACCACUUUGUGAUUCAUGACUGGGGUGAAGUCGUAACAAGGUAACCGUAGGGGAACCUGCGGUUGGAUCACCUCCUUACCUUAAAGAA
rnacentral:rRNA from 1 species